rnacentral:snRNA from 1 species
GUGCUUGCUUCGGCAGCACAUAUACUAAAAUUGGAACGAUACAGAAAAGAUUAGCAUGGCCCCUGUGCAAGGAUGACAUUCCUCUAGCAGGCUAAGAACCCCUUCAG